rnacentral:rRNA from 1 species
GGCGUGCCUAAUACAUGCAAGUCGAGCGGACAGAUGGGAGCUUGCUCCCUGAUGUUAGCGGCGGACGGGUGAGUAACACGUGGGUAACCUGCCUGUAAGACUGGGAUAACUCCGGGAAACCGGGGCUAAUACCGGAUGGUUGUUUGAACCGCAUGGUUCAGACAUAAAAGGUGGCUUCGGCUACCACUUACAGAUGGACCCGCGGCGCAUUAGCUAGUUGGUGAGGUAACGGCUCACCAAGGCAACGAUGCGUAGCCGACCUGAGAGGGUGAUCGGCCACACUGGGACUGAGACACGGCCCAGACUCCUACGGGAGGCAGCAGUAGGGAAUCUUCCGCAAUGGACGAAAGUCUGACGGAGCAACGCCGCGUGAGUGAUGAAGGUUUUCGGAUCGUAAAGCUCUGUUGUUAGGGAAGAACAAGUGCCGUUCAAAUAGGGCGGCACCUUGACGGUACCUAACCAGAAAGCCACGGCUAACUACGUGCCAGCAGCCGCGGUAAUACGUAGGUGGCAAGCGUUGUCCGGAAUUAUUGGGCGUAAAGGGCUCGCAGGCGGUUUCUUAAGUCUGAUGUGAAAGCCCCCGGCUCAACCGGGGAGGGUCAUUGGAAACUGGGGAACUUGAGUGCAGAAGAGGAGAGUGGAAUUCCACGUGUAGCGGUGAAAUGCGUAGAGAUGUGGAGGAACACCAGUGGCGAAGGCGACUCUCUGGUCUGUAACUGACGCUGAGGAGCGAAAGCGUGGGGAGCGAACAGGAUUAGAUACCCUGGUAGUCCACGCCGUAAACGAUGAGUGCUAAGUGUUAGGGGGUUUCCGCCCCUUAGUGCUGCAGCUAACGCAUUAAGCACUCCGCCUGGGGAGUACGGUCGCAAGACUGAAACUCAAAGGAAUUGACGGGGGCCCGCACAAGCGGUGGAGCAUGUGGUUUAAUUCGAAGCAACGCGAAGAACCUUACCAGGUCUUGACAUCCUCUGACAAUCCUAGAGAUAGGACGUCCCCUUCGGGGGCAGAGUGACAGGUGGUGCAUGGUUGUCGUCAGCUCGUGUCGUGAGAUGUUGGGUUAAGUCCCGCAACGAGCGCAACCCUUGAUCUUAGUUGCCAGCAUUCAGUUGGGCACUCUAAGGUGACUGCCGGUGACAAACCGGAGGAAGGUGGGGAUGACGUCAAAUCAUCAUGCCCCUUAUGACCUGGGCUACACACGUGCUACAAUGGACAGAACAAAGGGCAGCGAAACCGCGAGG